GGAUCCAGACUUUGAUUAUGGCUCAGGAUGAACGCUAGCUACAGGCUUAACACAUGCAAGUCGAGGGGAAACGACAUCGAAAGCUUGCUUUUGAUGGGCGUCGACCGGCGCACGGGUGAGUAACGCGUAUCCAACCUGCCCAUCACUUGGGGAUAACCUUGCGAAAGUAAGACUAAUACCCAAUGAUAUCUCAAGAAGACAUCUGAAUGAGAUUAAAGAUUUAUCGGUGAUGGAUGGGGAUGCGUCUGAUUAGCUUGUUGGCGGGGUAACGGCCCACCAAGGCGACGAUCAGUAGGGGUUCUGAGAGGAAGGUCCCCCACAUUGGAACUGGGACACGGUCCAAACUCCUACGGGAGGCAGCAGUGAGGAAUAUUGGUCAAUGGACGAGAGUCUGAGCCAGCCAAGUAGCGUGCAGGAUGACGGCCCUAUGGGUUGUAAACUGCUUUUAUAAGGGAAUAAAGUGAGCCUCGUGAGGCUUUUUGCAUGUACCUUAUGAAUAAGGACCGGCUAAUUCCGUGCCAGCAGCCGCGGUAAUACGGAAGGUCCGGGCGUUAUCCGGAUUUAUUGGGUUUAAGGGGAGCGUAGGCCGGAGAUUAAGCGUGUUGUGAAAUGUAGAUGCUCAACAUCUGCACUGCAGCGCGAACUGGUUUCCUUGAGUACGCACAAAGUGGGCGGAAUUCGUGGAGUAGCGGUGAAAUGCUUAGAUAUCACGAAGAACUCCGAUUGCGAAGGCAGCUCACUGGAGCGCAACUGACGCUGAAGCUCUAAAGUGCGGGUAUCGAACAGGAUUAGAUACCCUGGUAGUCCGCACGGUAAACGAUGGAUGCCCGCUGUUGGUCUGAAUAGGUCAGCGGCCAAGCGAAAGCAUUAAGCAUCCCACCUGGGGAGUACGCCGGCAACGGUGCAACUCAAAUGAAUUGACGG
rnacentral:rRNA from 1 species